AGAGUUUGAUCCUGGCUCAGGACGAACGCUGGCGGCGUGCUUAACACAUGCAAGUCGAACGAAGAGCGACGGAAGCUUGCUUCUAUCAAUCUUAGUGGCGAACGGGUGAGUAACGCGUAAUCAACCUGCCCUUCAGAGGGGGACAACAGUUGGAAACGACUGCUAAUACCGCAUACGAUCUAAUCUCGGCAUCGAGGAUAGAUGAAAGGUGGCCUCUACAUGUAAGCUAUCACUGAAGGAGGGGAUUGCGUCUGAUUAGCUAGUUGGAGGGGUAACGGCCCACCAAGGCGAUGAUCAGUAGCCGGUCUGAGAGGAUGAACGGCCACAUUGGGACUGAGACACGGCCCAGACUCCUACGGGAGGCAGCAGUGGGGAAUCUUCCGCAAUGGACGAAAGUCUGACGGAGCAACGCCGCGUGAGUGAUGACGGCCUUCGGGUUGUAAAGCUCUGUUAAUCGGGACGAAAGGCCUUCUUGCGAAUAGUGAGAAGGAUUGACGGUACCGGAAUAGAAGCCCG
rnacentral:rRNA from 2 species